AGCUACAAGCUAUUUAGUCAUUGUUAGCCACUGCUAGCGGCUUUUACCUUCUGCACAGAUACCAGCCCUGUUCUUAGCCUGGAUAAUACUCGCCAGUCUACCAGUAUCAGACUGUCUCUCCACAACAACUCCGGAUUCCUGCCGUAAUCCAUGGACCACUACUUCUGAUCUUCACAGCUAGCUUGCAGCUAGCUAGCUCACAGCUGUUUUGCACUCACCGUGGCACCCAGUACCGAAGCUAUCCCUGAGGCCCACCUCCCGGCCUACUCAGCUGUUCACCCGAACCCCACUCAUACACGGCUAGAGCCCAAUAUUCCACCGGAUCCUUGCUGUAAACUCUGGACCUUGGCACCGGUUCACCGCUGCUACCGAUUGGCUAUAGUGGCUAACGCCACUGCCACGAAGCUAGCACCAGUUAGCCGUGAGCCAGGCGCAUCUCCCGGCUAGCAAACUAAAUUCUUCAAUACCUCUUUCGCCACCUGGCUUCGAUUAUCUGUCGACACGGACCCCCGCCGCAUCACCACGACUGGUCUGCCAACAAAUACUCCAUCCGCUGUGCCUUUCAACCGGCCUCUGUCGGAGGGCUACUAACUUUAAACGCCGUGUCGCUAGCGUAGUGGCGGCGUCCCUGUUCCAUCUACUGCUGCCCUCUGGACACUAUGAUCACUUGGCUACAUAGCUGAUGCCUGCUGGACUGUCCAUUAAUCAGGCAAGGGAACCUCUUUGGUACCAACAGGCAGCAGAUCUGACAGAAACAUCUCAGCAACUCAUCAGACAAGUCCUGUCUGAGUUCUGUGCUGCAUCCAGAUUCUCCAGGACACAGGCAUAUUCCCAGAACCUGAACAUCCAAAGGGUGUUCAGAGGUGUACAUAAAAACCUCAUGGGGGAGUUUGGCUCUUGUAACACCCUGCAAGCAGCUAUUUCCUCCCAGGACCCUGCAUUUGACUGAGUAAAGUCUGGUAAGGUAAAGUCCUUGACCCAGCAGCUGGUACAGGAAUGCAAGGAGGCGUCAAGACCAGCUACUGCUGCAACAAACCCAUCAGACCAGGCUGAGACAGAGAGGGGGGCUGAGCAGAAAGCAAGAAGGAGCUUCCUUUCCUUUUCAAUGACCAAACUCGGGAUCAACUUCAAGCGUUCCAAGAGAGGAAACAAAAAGGACUGCCAUUCAGUCCAGGAACAGACUGAGAUUCCCUCUACUGAUGGACAUUGCAUAGCUCCAGUUGGAGAAGUUUCUCCCUCCAUAUCUCAGCUUGUCAAAAAACGUUCCUUGAUUGUCAGGGUCUUUUCAGCAAUGAUGAAGCCAUUCAGGCGCUUCACCAAGAAGAACCUGUAACCUGUUAUGCUGCAUGAAGAACUACUUUUGUAACAGCAAGACUUUUGACAAGAGGAAUUUCUGCAUGUCUACCCUUUCAAAGUCUAUUUGAUCAAAUAAAUGCAAAUUAUUUUACAAGAA